rnacentral:misc_RNA from 1 species
UAACUCUUAAUUAAACGACAUUGAAAUCACAAUCCCAAUAACAAUUAAACUAAAUCGCAACUUUUUUUACAAUCAACUACCAACUAUCAACCACCAGCCCUCAACUAUUAACACAAACCAUCAACUAUCAACCACCAUCUCCAACUCUUAGUCUUUCUUUUUAUACGCUUCAUUCAAUCCUUUCAAUACAUCGCUUGUUAUAUCGUAAGUAGAGUCUUUGUAGUAAAUCGUUCCGGGCUGAUAAGCAAUUAUAUAGGAGUAGCCUUUAUCAGCAUUAUACUGUUUAAGAAACUCUUCAAUUUUCUUGUUUACAUCCUGCAUUUUUUUAAAAGUGGCAUCCUGC